GGGGAUCCACCCGUUCCCAUACCGAACACGGAAGUUAAGCCCUCCAGCGCCGAUGGUACUUGGGCUUAAGCCCUGGGAGAGUAGGUCGUUGCCAGGC
rnacentral:rRNA from 1 species